rnacentral:tRNA from 1 species
GGCCCUCUAGCCCAAUUGGUAGAGGCACAGGUUUUAGGUACCUGUCAGUGCGAGUUCGAGUCUCGCGGGGGCCAC